rnacentral:rRNA from 1 species
AGUCGAACGAAAUCUUCGGAUUUAGUGGCGGACGGGUGAGUAACGCGUGAGAAUCUGGCUUCAGGUCUGGGACAACCACUGGAAACGGUGGCUAAUACCGGAUGUGCCGAGAGGUGAAAGGUUAACUGCCUGAAGAUGAGCUCGCGUCUGAUUAGCUAGUUGGUAGAGUAAGAGCCUACCAAGGCGACGAUCAGUAGCUGGUCUGAGAGGACGAUCAGCCACACUGGGACUGAGACACGGCCCAGACUCCUACGGGAGGCAGCAGUGGGGAAUUUUCCGCAAUGGGCGAAAGCCUGACGGAGCAAUACCGCGUGAGGGAGGAAGGCUCUUGGGUCGUAAACCUCUUUUCUCAGGGAAGAACACAAUGACGGUACCUGAGGAAUAAGCAUCGGCUAACUCCGUGCCAGCAGCCGCGGUAAUACGGAGGAUGCAAGCGUUAUCCGGAAUGAUUGGGCGUAAAGCGUCCGCAGGUGGCAAUGUAAGUCUGCUGUUAAAGAGUCUAGCUCAACUAGAUAAGAGCAGUGGAAACUACAUAGCUAGAGUACGUUCGGGGCAGAGGGAAUUCCUGGUGUAGCGGUGAAAUGCGUAGAGAUCAGGAAGAACACCAGUGGCGAAGGCGCUCUGCUAGGCCGUAACUGACACUGAGGGACGAAAGCUAGGGGAGCGAAUGGGAUUAGAUACCCCAGUAGUCCUAGCCGUAAACGAUGGAUACUAGGCGUGGCUUGUAUCGACCCGAGCCGUGCCGUAGCUAACGCGUUAAGUAUCCCGCCUGGGGAGUACGCCGGCMACGGUGAAACUCAAAGGAAUUGACGGGGGCCCGCACAAGCGGUGGAGUAUGUGGUUUAAUUCGAUGCAACGCGAAGAACCUUACCAAGGCUUGACAUGUCGCGAAUCCUGGUGAAAGCUGGGAGUGCCUUCGGGAGCGCGAACAC